UGCCGGGCUCUCAGCACGGAAGGAAGCCUGAGGGACCUCUUACAGCAACUGUCAACUURAAGCUUUAAAAGAGCAGCUGGCAGUCCAUGAGCUUCUUAUGGCAGUUUUACUUGGUAUUUCAAAGGUUUGGUUGUUCUGAAUCAAGUCAUCGCUGCUAAUUUUCAGAACUGUUUAAUAGCUGAAGGUAACAACUGUGUUACGCAAAUCAAUUGGACUUGGACACCUUGGGGCUGUUGAAAAACUUACUGAAGUAAUAUUUGUGUCUUUGGUACGUGUUCUAGAGCUGCUUCUGC
rnacentral:lncRNA from 1 species